GGCACGAUGCCGGCGUGCUAAUACAUGCAAGUCGAGCGGACAGAAGGGAGCUUGCUCCCGGAUGUUAGCGGCGGACGGGUGAGUAACACGUGGGUAACCUGCCUGUAAGACUGGGAUAACUCCGGGAAACCGGAGCUAAUACCGGAUAGUUCCUUGAACCGCAUGGUUCAAGGAUGAAAGACGGUUUCGGCUGUCACUUACAGAUGGACCCGCGGCGCAUUAGCUAGUUGGUGAGGUAACGGCUCACCAAGGCGACGAUGCGUAGCCGACCUGAGAGGGUGAUCGGCCACACUGGGACUGAGACACGGCCCAGACUCCUACGGGAGGCAGCAGUAGGGAAUCUUCCGCAAUGGACGAAAGUCUGACGGAGCAACGCCGCGUGAGUGAUGAAGGUUUUCGGAUCGUAAAGCUCUGUUGUUAGGGAAGAACAAGUGCAAGAGUAACUGCUUGCACCUUGACGGUACCUAACCAGAAAGCCACGGCUAACUACGUGCCAGCAGCCGCGGUAAUACGUAGGUGGCAAGCGUUGUCCGGAAUUAUUGGGCGUAAAGGGCUCGCAGGCGGUUUCUUAAGUCUGAUGUGAAAGCCCCCGGCUCAACCGGGGAGGGUCAUUGGAAACUGGGGAAACUUGAGUGCAGAAGAGGGAGAGUGGAAUUCCACGUGUAGCGGUGAAAUGCGUAUAAGAUGGUGGAGGAACACCGGUGGCGAAGGCGACUUCUCCU
rnacentral:rRNA from 1 species